rnacentral:rRNA from 1 species
UACAGAGGUCUCAAGCGUUGUUCGGAUUCAUUGGGCGUAAAGGGUGCGUAGGUGGUGCUGUAAGUCAGGUGUGAAAUCUCGGGGCUCAACCCCGAAACUGCACUUGAUACUGCAGUGCUUGAGGACUGGAGAGGAGACUGGAAUUUACGGUGUAGCGGUGAAAUGCGUAGAUAUCGUAAGGAAGACCAGUGGCGAAGGCGGGUCUCUGGACAGUUCCUGACGCUGAGGCACGAAGGUCAGGGGAGCAAACGGG